UUGGGAAUGCAUGUAAGAAUUAAAGAUUUUAAAAUUUAAAAAAUAAAAAACAAAAAAAAAAAAAAAAAAAAGAAAUCUAUGAGGCAACAUAAACACUGGCAAAAACUGUGGUGAUAUUAGAGGCAUUGCUAGCUAUGAUAAUGACGCUGUGGUUAAGCUUUCUAAGGAAGUCUUUAUCUUUUAGAGAUACUAAAAUAUCAAUAGGUGAAGUUACAUGGUAUCUAGAAUUUUUAUCUUAACGUAGUGGAGGGAGUGGCGUACAGAUGAUGUAAGUGGUCCCUCAAUGGAAGCUUGAUCGGUGUGGAAGCUGUAUAACAGGAAGAUGGAGGUCCCUUCAGAGAAGGCAAUGGCACCCCACUCCAGUACUCUGGCCUGGGAAAUCCCAUGGAUGGAGGAGCCUGGUGGGCUACAGUCUAUGGGGUCGCUGAGGGUCGGACAUGAAUGAGCGACUUCACUUUCACUUUUCACUUUCAUGCAUUGGAGAAGGAAAUGGCAACCCACUCCAGUGUUCUUGCCUGGAGAAUCCCAGGAAGGGGGGAGCCUCGUGGGCUGCCGUCGCACAGAGUUGGACACGACGGAAGCAACUUAGCAGCAGCAGCAGCAGCAGGAGGUCCCUUAUUCUCUUUUCUCUACCUAAUAUUUGCUUGACAUUAUCCAUAGUAAAGAAAAGUGUCAUAAAAACCACUUAAUCAAUCGGUUUUACAUGUAUGCCUUUCUUUCUUAGGGAGCUCCAUUAUAAGUGAACACUGACAUUUAUAAAUGAAAAGCCAUCCAUUCUAAAAUUAUUAUUAAAGAGUUUGAAGUAGAAGAUAGGGUCAGGCUUUUUACAAAAUUCACAGUUAAGCCCAAGUUACCAGCUUCCUUCAAGAGGACUGAGAUCAGUUGUAUUUGUGAUAUUCACAUGUCAAACUAACAGGCUAGGACGGAGACCCUACUUGCCUCAAUAUCUGUAUUGCUUUCUCCGUCAGCGAUAAAAUGUCCAACUUUUAGUUGGCACAUGGCCAUCCAGGCAAAAGAGCAUUAUCCUAGCCUCCUUUACACCUGAGGAUAGUUGUGUGACUACGUUCUGACCAAAGGUUUUUAAAGGGAAGUGGUAUACAUGACUUCCCGGAAGUAUCUUUAAAGAAGUAUGUCUCCUUUUCUGAUCUCCCCUCCAUUUCCGGCUUGUUGGAACGUGUUCUGAUGGCUGGAGCCUGAGCAGCCACGUUGGAUCUCGAGUCAGAAGCUACAGGAAAGAACGGUGGAAGAAUAAGUUACCAGAGCAGCCGGUAUUUUGAAACCCAAAUCUUCUGGAAUAUUCUUAGAAUCUGACGCAAAGCUUUUGAGAGCUUUCCAAACUGUAGCACUAGUAAUGACGACCUGGCUGUCCUGCGUAGCUAUUCAAGUAUCAAGGAGACUUCUAGAAGACAAAGAAGCUGGUUCAUUCUAUGCGCAGAAAACAGGACUGUUUUCUUCUUUUUUCAAUGGAAUCCCCAACCCCUAACAACAAAAAUCUAGAGGCUUAUUUGACAUUGAAAAAUAAUAAUUAGGGCUUCUCUGGUGGCUCAGUGGUAAAGAAUUCAGGAGACACAGGUUCGAUCCCUGAUCUGGGAUCGGGGCAGAGCAACUCAGCCCAAUGCCCCGCAACUACUGAGGCUGUGCUCUAGAGCCCGGAAACCGCAGCUACUGAAGCGCCUGCAGCCCAGAGCUCCUGGUCCUCGCCAAGAAAAGCCGCCGCAAGGAGAAGUCCGAGCUCCGCAACCGGAGAGAAGCCCGAGCCCCCAGGGAGACCCCGCACAGCCAAAGGUUAAUAAAUAGAAUUCAGAGAAAGAGGCAAUGGUUAGAGAUAGAUACACAUGCACUUCUGCAAAUCAGUUAAGACAGAAGCCAACACAUGGGAAAGGUUCACGUCCUCUUGGAGGCAAACUAGGAAUUAGGCGAAGGCGGGGGUGGGUGGGGGGCGGAGGAGACACAGGGCAGCGUCUUCUUCGCCGUCCAUGCCUGGCAUUGACUGGCCGCACCACAGUGCUCACCAUCCUCCCCACGCCAGUCUCCCUGACCCCACUGUCACCUUUUGGCUCCUCCUGUUUUCAUGAGCUUCCCUACCCCAGGGGCUUUGCACCACCGAGUCCCUUUUCUUAGGAUCCCUUCCUUUCUCUAACGCUGCCCUGACGCUGACUUUAAUAUAGAGGAGUUCUGUUCACCCUGCGGGUCUCAGCUCAACUGUCCCUCCUACAUGGAAGCCCUAACCAGUUUCCAACUUCCACCACCUCCAGGUGUUUGUAUAUAUAUGUAUGUACACAGUUGUUGUUCAGUCACUCAGUCAUGUCAGACUCUUUGUGACCCCAAGGACUGCGGCAGGUCGGGCCUCCCUGUCCAUCACCAACUCCCGGAGCUUGUUCAAACUCAUGCCCAUUGAGUCAGUGAUGCCAUCCAACCGUCUCAUCCUCUGUCGUCCCCUUCUCCUCUUGCCUUUAAUCUUUCCCAGCAUCAGUGUCUUUUCCAAUGAGUCAGUUCUUUGCAUCAGGUGGCCAAAGUACUGGAGCUUCAGCUUCAGCAUCAGUCCUUCCAAUGAAUAUUCAGGGCUGAUUUCCUUUAAGACAGACUGGUUGGAUCUCCUUGCAAAGGGACUCUCAAGAGUCUUCUCCAGCACCACAGUUAGAAAGCAUCAUUUCUUCGGUGCUCAGGCUUCUUUAUGGUCCAACUCUCACAUCUACCUAUCUAUCCAUCUAUCUAUCUAUCUAUUCCCAGAGUGCCAGGGCUGAACUGAAUGAUGACUGUAGUGGGUCCGAUGUAUUUUUGCCUGUGUGGGUCACUUCUUCCAUAAAAGGAUGUUAAAAAUUGUAUUUUGCAACUUCAGAUACAUAAAUGAAUAAAGUUGAAGGUAAUCCAGGCUGGAGUUAUUAUGAUAUAUUCAUGAUUAUUAUAUUCAUUUUUUUUCUUCUGACUUUAAAAGAAGUGAAAAUAAAGACAUUUUUGUGUGCUCCUAAAAGUAUCAUAGACCCCGGGUAUUGUACCCCUAUUCCACACAGAGAAUCUGGCCUUCACAGCAAAGGUGUAAUUUUUCUAUUGCGUGCAUAUCCCAGCUGUUGUUAGCUGUUUCUGUGAGGUGCAGACUAAGAAGCUUACAUCUCUAACUUCCCUGGUGGUCCAGUGGUUAGAACGCUGCACUUCCAUUGCUGAGGGCCCCGGUUUGAUCCCGUCAGGGAACUCAGGUCCCCAAGCUAUGGGGCCAAAAAAACAAAGCAC
ensembl:lncRNA